rnacentral:lncRNA from 1 species
CUGGUUUGUUGAAUGUUUUCAACCAUGUUAUAUAUCCUGUUGGAUCCUCAUUGCAACCCGGGGGACAGGUUUUCCUUGGCUUGUUCCUUAGACAGAGAGAAUUGAGGCACAGAAAUCCUGCAGGGCUGGGUCCUACCACAAUGGGAUGUCUUCACAAGUCUGGGGUGAAGACACAGACCCAUGGGGCCUUUGGACUGCGGGACGCCUUCCUUGCAGACAGGAGCCGGGCCUGGCCGCUGCCACAUGUCCUGACAUCUCAUGAGCUGACGCUGCCCGUGAUUCUUGGCAGCCCAUAGAGACCCCAUGGUCUCUGGGAGCCUGAGAUGGUUUGAAGACAGCAGUCCUGCUUGUGUGCAACCAGAAACCAACCCAUACCCUAAGCCCUGCCUUAUUAUCUGUGCCAAUUUUUUCUUUUGUUUUUUCAAGACAGGAUCUUACUCUCUUACCCAGGCCAGAGUGCAGUUGUGUGAUCUCGACUCACUGCAACCUCCACCUCCUAGGUUCAGGUGAUUUUCCUGCCUCAGCCUCCUGAGUACAGGUGCGCACCGUUACACCUAAUUUUUGUAUUUUAGUAAAGACAGGGUUUCGCCAUAUUGGCCAGGCUGGUCUCAAACUCCUGACCUCAAGUGAUCCGCCUGCCUUGGACUCUCAAAGUGCUAGGAUUACAGGCAUGAGCCACCAUGUUUUCUCACUACAAAUGAACUUUGUGGGGGUUUUUUUUUUCUUGUUAUGAAAGUGAUUCCUGAUCAUUUCAGAAAAUUUUGUUAAAAUUAUGCCUAUAAUCUGGGCACAUAAUUGCUUUUAAGGAAGCCAACUGUGUCUGCAACGACAGAUGGCACCAGUUGCUGAGGUGGUCUGGGGGCACCAACAGGAGGCGCCACAGCACCCCGGGGCUCCUGCAGACCUUUUUGGACAUGGACACAGACAGGAGGGAGUGGAGCUGGGCCCUGGCUGCUGGGAUGUGCAGUUUAAAACAAUAAGAUCAUACUCUACAUGUCAUUUUGUAACUUGACUUUCUUUACUUAACUAGCAUAAAUCUGUAUCUAUAUCAUCACAUAUAUGUUUUUUUUUUAAAUUAAUUAUUUUUAAAGACAAGGUCUGUUUCUGUUGCCCAGGCUGGAGUGCAGUGGUGUGAACUUGGCUCACUGCAACCUCCACCUCCAGGGCUCAAGUGAUCUUCCUGCCUCAGCCUCCUGAGUAGCUGGGACUACCGACACGCACUACCACGCCUAGUUAAUUUUUGUAUUUUUUUUUUGUAGAGAUGGGGUUUCUCCAUGUUGUCCGGGCUGGUCUUGAACUCCUGGGCUCAAGCAAUCUGCCAGCAUUGGCCUCCCAGAAAGUUAGGAUUGCAGGCGUAAGCCACGGCGCCUGGAGAUCACAUGCAUUUUGUUCUUUAUUGACCAUGCAUGGAUCUGCUGUAAUUUUAACAAAUCCCCUCUAGUUGGGCAUGUGAACUUUUACUCCUGUUUCCCUGCAUGUUGGCAUUUUCGUGCCGGGUCCUAGUGAAAUCUGCAGCUGACUACAGUUUUCCCCCUGCAUGGACACCUUUCUUACUGUGUCUUUGCCUGUAGUUUGGUUCUUUGUGGGAGAUGGUUGCUCCCUUCAGUGGCAGGAGAUGAUCUGGGACUUGGUACCUCCCAAGCUCACUUGGCACCCUGUACAGCACAGGUGCCAAACAACUGUGAGUGGCAAGUGGAGUUUUGUUUCUGCCUCUGUCCCUAUGAUAUAACAGGUCCUUGUCAGUGGCUUUGACCCCUGUCUGUGGCUCUGUGUGGCUGGUUCUGAGCUCGUGCCUGUCGCCAGCCCAGGUCUUACCUGCCUCUCAGUGUGGGCUCAUGGCUCUGGACUCUGCAGACAGUGUCCCAGGGUUUUCCUCCUUUAGUGGUCUUGCAGAUUUAGGAUGUCAGCAGGAUCUUAGAAAUUCCUUGCCUUGCAGUUGCAAUGAGUCGAGAUCACGCCACUGCACUCCAGGCUGGGCCACAGAGAGCAAGACUCUGUCUCAAAAAAAAAAAAGAAAAGAAAAAGAAGAAAUUUUGUGACCUGACUUAAAAUGAGGAUUAUGUCUAAACUUAGAUCAUAAAGUGACUUCCAGGGCUGUUGUGGUGGAAUCUAAAGGACAUUCUGAGAGUUGUGUUGGGAGAGGAGAGCCACGAGGCAGGACAUGUGCAUUUCUUGCUCCCUCCUUUGUGCUUGGCCUGGUGCAUCCAGUGUGGUCCAGGCACGCUGCAGCUCCAGCAGCUCUGUGAGGCGGGAGCGUCAUCUCGUCUGUCCUUAGUGCCAGUCCAG